rnacentral:lncRNA from 1 species
CCCGGCCACUAGUGUACUGCAGCUGGGCAGGCACACUCCUCGCAGACCCGGCGCUCUCCAAGGAGAAAAGAAAGUUAGUGGGCUUGGGGCACAGAUUUUCCAGCCUCCCUAAGAAAUGAAAGGUUCGCGUGCCCUUCACCUCCCUCCCUGCUUUCCAGCGUCCUCAGCGCCUCCCCGAACAGCCAGACAGUGGAGCGCCCCGUGUUGGGGAGAGGAGGGGAGCAGACGCCUCCGAAGUUUGGAAAAGUUACACAGGG